CCUACGGGUGGCAGCAGUGGGGAAUAUUGGGCAAUGGGCGCAAGCCUGACCCAGCAACGCCGCGUGAAGGAAGAAGGCUUUCGGGUUGUAAACUUCUUUUAAGAGGGAAGCGCAGAAGACGGUACCUCUUGAAUAAGCCACGGCUAACUACGUGCCAGCAGCCGCGGUCAUACGUAGGUGGCAAGCGUUUUCCGGAUUUACUGGUGGUAAAGGGCGUGUAGCCGGGCUGACAAGUCAGAUGUGAAAUCCCGUGGCUCAACCACGGACCUGCAUUUGAAACUGUCGGUCGUGAGUAUCGGAGAGGCAGGCGGAAUGCCUAGUGUAGCGGUGAAAUGCGUAGAUAUUAGGAGGAACACCAGUGGCGAAGGCGGCCUGCUGGACGACAACUGACGGUGAGGCGCGAAAGCGUGGGGAGCAAACAGGAUUAGAUACCCCUGUAGUC
rnacentral:rRNA from 1 species